AGUGAACGCUGGCGGUAGGCCUAACACAUGCAAGUCGAACGGCAGCACAGUAAGAGCUUGCUCUUCCGGGUGGCGAGUGGCGGACGGGUGAGGAAUAUAUCGGAAUCUACUUUUUCGUGGGGGUUAACGUAAGGAAACUUACGAUCAUACCGCAUACGACCUACGGGUGAAAGCAGGGGAUCUUCGGACCUUGCGCGAAUGAAUGAGCCGAUGUCGGAUUAGCUAGUUGGCGGGGUAAAUGCCCACCAUGGCGACGAUCCGUAGCUGGUGUGUGAGAAUGGUCGCCGACACUGGAACUGGAACAGGGUCCAGGCUCCUACGGGAGGCAGCAGUGUGGAAUAGUGGACAAAAGGCGGGAGCCUGGUCCAGCCGUACCGCGUGGGUGAAAAAGGCCCUCGGGUUGUAAAGCCCGUUUGUUGGGAGAGAAAAGCAUCAGGUUAAUACCCCGCUGUACUGACGGUACCGAAAGAAGAAGCACCGGCUAACUUCGUG
rnacentral:rRNA from 1 species